GGACAAUUAUGUUUCCCUUGCACUAUAGGAAACAUCACCUGGUAUUGGACAGGUCUUGUUGAUAAUUUUUCCAAUUUUCUGGGAUUGGGAAUCAGAACCCAUAGCCAAGAGCAAUAGGGAAUGGUCACCCUUCAGUCUAAAAGGGUAGUUCUUAGAGGCAGUUUUGUCCCUCCAGGAGACCUCUUUCAAUGUCUGAAGACACUUUUUAUUGUCCUACUUGGGAAUUGCUAUAAGCAUCUAGUAUAUAGAGACCAGGAUGCUGCUCAAUACCUCCCCACCCCAAUGCAUAGGACAGUUCUCCUGGGAAGUUAUUUGACCCUAAACAGCAGUAGUGCAGACACUGAGAAAUCCUGAUUGUAAAUUGUUCAUGUGUAUGGGUAUCAUCUUGAAAGAGAUAUGGAUGCUUCAUUCACCGUAUCUGGUGAGCUGCUAGGUGACUUCCACUGGGGAGAUAAUAUUGAAGUGGCCAUGGGUUGUCUGCAGAAGUAUUGAUUGUUUACAAGGGGCAUAGAGGGGCAUAGAGAUGCCAACGUGCACAAUCCCCAGAGCUGGGCCACAGAGAGCAGCUAAGAUUAGGGGUUCAGGCCUGUGGGGGCCACUCUAGGAUGGGCAGGGGCCAUGUGAUGGAAAGACCAUGUGGGCAUUACCCAGGAGGUUUAGCUGAAACUCACAAAGACCCACCAAGGCUUCUGAGAGCAGUUUGGGCCUGAGUUUCUUAUCAGUGGUGUUAGCCACUGGCCACACUCCAUGCAGACAAGGAGUUAGAUUGACAGAAGUGACCCUUGGAAAGGUAGUGGUGGCCUCCUCUGGUACAGGGUUUUCACAGAAGAGAAUGACAGCAGAGGUGACAUUCCCCUUUGUUGAUGGAGAACAAACUCAUUCCGGGAAGUCACAUGCCAAAAUAUCUUUUAUUCUCUCCUUUCUCCAGAACUUAAAUUAUAAGGGAAGAGAGAAGAAGAGAUGUGAGAGAGGGAAAAUCACAUCUCCCACCCUCCUAAUGGUGGAUACCCAGAAUUCUAACUUAGGGAUAACAUCAUUCACCUUAUAGCAGUGGUCAGUAUACUACUGCCCCAAACCUGUAGUAAAUAAAGGUU
rnacentral:lncRNA from 1 species